AACGAACGCUGGCGGCGUGCCUAACACAUGCAAGUCGUGCGAGAAAGUUCCUUCGGGAGCGAGUAAAGCGGCGCACGGGUGAGUAACACGUAGGUAACCUGCCCCCCAGUCUGGAACAACUAGAGGAAACUCUAGCUAAUGCCGGAUGAGACCACGAUCCCUUCGGGGGUUGCGGCCAAAGAUGGCCUCUACUUGUAAGCUAUCGCUGAGGGAUGGGCCUGCGGGCCAUUAGCUUGUUGGUGAGGUAACGGCUCACCAAGGCUGUGAUGGCUAGCUGGUCUGAGAGGAUGACCAGCCACACUGGGACUGAGACACGGCCCAGACUCCUACGGGAGGCAGCAGUGGGGAAUCUUAGACAAUGGGCGCAAGCCUGAUCUAGCCAUGCCGCGUGAGCGAUGAAGGCCUUAGGGUUGUAAAGCUCUUUCAGUGGGGAAGAUAAUGACUGUACCCACAGAAGAAGCCCCGGCUAACUCCGUGCCAGCAGCCGCGGUAA
rnacentral:rRNA from 1 species